GAUAUGGCUCAGGAUAAACGCUGGCGGCGCACAUAAGACAUGCAAGUCGAACGGAAGUCGUUGUAAUGAUAUAGACAUGGACGGAGAACUUGUUCAAAGGAAGUGAAAGUUGACUUACAACAAUGGCUUUAGUGGCGGACUGGUGAGUAACACGUAAGCAACCUGUCUAUCAGAGGGGAACAACAGUUAGAAAUGACUGCUAAUACCGCAUAUGCCUAAGUAUCAC
rnacentral:rRNA from 1 species